UCGUGCCAAGCCAAGAACUCCACGGUGCGCGGGAGGCAUGUCGUGCUUCCCUCGGGGGCCCAUUCUUCUUUGCCACAAGGCUGGCAGAUGCGGGGAUCUGGAAGGAAGGAGCCAGAUCCACCCCGCCGAGCCUGAGUUCUGACUCUCCGGGCACCACGGAUAUUAAAAGGAAACAGUGUGUCCCCCUGGUGUCUGAGCUGAGUCCAUAGCUCCUGCCCUCGAAUGGGGCAGCGCACUGGCUUCCUCCCGAGGCAGACAUGCCAGUUUCUACCAUUAAUCCAAACCAGCCAGGUGCUGACUUCUUGACGCAAGGAAGGGACAUCAUACAAACGGAACAGCAUCUCUUUGGACAAAGAGGUUGCAUUUAGGUCGAGAUUCAUCUGUGGAAGCUGGGGGGGUGGGGGUGGGGGUGCUCUGACAGAGGAUACACCUAGGACUAACACUUCCAGGUGAACAAUCAGAAUUCAGCAUAGUGGCAAGUGUCCUCCAGCCUGUGUCCAACUGGCAGGCAGGCCAGUGAGCUGGAGUCCUGGUUUGUAGAGGAAGUUUCUGUCCUGGGGGGCGUUUGGCCCCAAAUAAACACACAGAGGCUUCUAGUAACUAUAAACUGUUUGGCCAAUAGCUUAGGCUUCUUAUUGCCUUGCUCUCUCUUAAUUAUUAACCCAUUUCUAUUCAUCUUAGUAUUUCCACGUGGUCUUAUCUUACCGGGGAAGGGUCCAGACCUGUUCCUCCUUCCUCUGCUACAUGGUGUCUCCUCACAGCUUCCCCCUGCCUCCUCUCCCAGGAAUUCUCCUCAGUCUCGUAGCCCUCCCUCUACUCCCUGACCGGCUACUGGCCUAUCAGUGUUUUACUCAUCAACUAAUAAGAGAAAGGCAUACACAGCAGGCCGUCCCCCAUCACUGGCUUUGAGUCCCUUGGGUGCUGGCUCACUCACGCACUCACUGCUCACUCACUGCUCUUGUUGAGAAAGGUCCCAGCCUCACAGGGAAUGCAUUCGAAGCAACAAUGGUGAGAGCCCACCACCACUCUGUGGUACCCGUCAAGACAGUCUUCGACACACACAGACGUGGGUACCUGUAAGAAGCCACGGUGGUUCCCAGUCACACAGAGGAGCCCUGGCCAAGGGACAGCUCACACGAGGUGCAGGAAAGAGAUCUCUGCACCUCAGCCCUCCAGGUUCACGCUCAGAGCAGGGCCCCGGAGGUGGCUGUUUGAUAACACAUGGAGCCCGUCCCUGGCAGACCUGAGCAGAGGGAAGGUGGCCUGACAUCUGUCACCUCCUCCCUGCACUGGGCAGGCGUCACUCCCCAGACUCCUGGGAGCAUACAGCCGUCUUUGGUAACAACCAUGUCCCCGUUACCUGAUUGGUUUUCCCAGACCACUGGAUUUUCGUCUUGUUUAUGUCUAGCUGAACUGGAGACCUUGUAGCAGAGCCAAUGACCCGAAAGCUCCAUUCAGGCCCAUUCCAUUCCCAGGAGAUGAUGUUAUAGUCACCCAGAGGGUCCCCGUUGUCAUCGAAUGCCAUCGUAUCCUUAUGUAGAAGGAAAUUCACCUUGUAGAUCUGCUGCAGAAGCUGCAACAGACAAAUGUCAUGAAGCCUCCAUAGACCACACAGACCCAGGCAGCCCUGGAAGCAAGCAGGGGCUCUCUCGAGUUUCUGCUGUGAGUAGUCCCAACCCACCUCUAAGGCCCGGUUUCUUCCUCAGCAAUCUGUUCCCUUCUAGGAAUCCCCUUGACCCGACCCCCUCCUGAGAGACCUCUAAUAAAGAACUCUUUUGCA